GCGUUAAUCGGAAUUACUGGGCGUAAAGCGUACGUAGGUGGUUUGUUAAGUUGGAUGUGAAAGCCCAGGGCUCAACCUUGGAACUGCAUUCAAAACUGGCGAACUAGAGUAUGGUAGAGGUGAGUGGAAUUUCCUGUGUAGCGGUGAAAUGCGUAGAGAUGGGAAGGAACAUCAGUGGCGAAGGCGACUCACUGGACCAAUACUGACACUGAGGUACGAAAGCGUGGGUAGCAAACAGGAUUAGAUACCCUGGUAGUCCACGCCGUAAACGAUGUCUACUAGCCGUUGGGGUCCUUGAGACUUUAGUGGCGCACUAACGCCUAAGUAGACCGGCUGGGGAGUACGGUCGCAAGAUUAAACCUUCAAAUGAAUUGGACGGGGGCCCGNACAAGCGGUGGAGCAUGUGGUUUAAUUCGAAGCAACGCGAAGAACCUUACCUACUCUUGACAUCCACAGAACUUUUCAGAGAUGAAUUGGUGCCUUCGGGAACUGUGAGACAGGUGCUGCAUGGCUGUCGUCAGCUCGUGUUGUGAAAUGUUGGGUUAAGUCCCGUAACGAGCGCAACCCUUGUCCUUAGUUACUAACAUUAAGUUGAGA
rnacentral:rRNA from 1 species